CUAAAAACCAACCAACCAAAACCCAAAACAAGGGGUAGAUAUGUUCAUAUUUGUGCCCUAAUUCCCCUCUCUGAAGAGGAUGUGCCUUUCUUCAGCUGGUGUAACUGAUGCUGACACUAACUGCAACUUUUAUGUAUCUGAUGUAUGCUCAUACAAGUACUGCUUCAGCAAACUGCAACCCAUAGAUAGCAACUGCAGUUAACCCAAAUAUGUGUGGCUGGUAAAGCACCACUGAGUUCCUAACAUUGGUAGGCAACACCCAAAUGCCUGUCAUGCAUGAAUGUUUGCAGAAACCUGGAGACUUCUGCGUGUUUUUCUUCACCAGGUGCCGUUGUCUGGGAUGUCUGCACCUUCUGCUCUUGCAGGAGUGCUGUUCCAGAUGUGGCUCCACCUGCAGGCUGUGAGGGAGCAGGAGUGUUUCCAUCAGAUCACGUAAUGAAAAGAUUGCACAGCAGUACUGGGGAGAUGGACACAACAGUGGUGGAACUGAGCAGAAAGUGAACUCGGAAGGACUUCAGAGGCUUUCUCCGGAUUUCAGAGUACCUCAUCAGCAGUCCUGUAGGUGCCUCGCAUGUCUGUGCCUUUGGGGAGCAAAGCUCCUGCUGGUUGACAGCUCAUUUAUUCCAGCCUCUCUUCUUCAUGAGAAUGACCUCCAGCAGCACACAGAUGCACUGAGCUUUUCCAUUCAGUGGGCAUUCUCUCCGUUCAGAAUCUUUCUUUUUUUAAUUCCUCCACCUCUUGGUGCGUUUUAUUGUACGUAGCGCAGCGCUUCACUCUACAAUCCAUUCCCCUCCUCCCACAGGCAUUAUUUUUCCCGUGGACAGGUGAGAACCACAGCUCACACAAUCACAAGGCUGCGCUCUGUUGGCAGCAGGUCGGGAUACCGCCGAGUCACGCUGUGAGUUUCCCACACCAUUCCAGAUUUGUGUUUACUUCAUGGAAACGCGCUCUGAACGCCAUCGCUCACCGAGAGGCUCUGUGUGAGAAGACCAAUUGUAACCUUUCAGCUCGCAAAUCAUUCCUGUGACACUCAGCAUCCUUACAGUGCGGCUGUGGCCGUGCACGCCGCCUGGAGCAGCCCAGCAGUUGUGCUGUUCUGAGGGCAUUCAGACGGAGAAGUGCUUUCUUGGUUUACAGCCGUAGCUAUUUCUGUGGGAUUUCUAUUAGAGCAGCCUUACUGCUUGAGUGCUAACCCCGCUCUGCGGGACCCCGGUGCUGCGCUGGGCUCGCCUGGAGGAGCGGUCGCUGCGGGUUGGCUGUGACCCGGCCCCGCGCCUCUGCGUCUGGUACUGAUACAUACACUGGCGACUUGAUUUUAUACUAUAAAAGGAUUUGUAUUACAG
rnacentral:lncRNA from 1 species